rnacentral:misc_RNA from 1 species
UACGGAGGAUCCAAGCGUUAUCCGGAAUCAUUGGGUUUAAAGGGUCCGUAGGCGGGAUAAUAAGUCAGUGGUGAAAAUCCAAGGCUCAACUGUAGAACUGCCAUUGAUACUGUCGUCCUUGAGUUAUUGUGAAGUGGUUGGAAUAUGUAGUGUAGCGGUGAAAUGCAUAGAUAUUACUCAGAAUACCGAUUGCGAAGGCAGAUCACUAAUAAUAUACUGACGCUGAUGGACGAAAGCGUAGGUAGCAAACAGG